rnacentral:rRNA from 1 species
CAGCAGCCGCGGGAAUACAGAGGGUGCAAGCGUUAAUCGGAAUUACUGGGCGUAAAGCGCGCGUAGGUGGUUUGUUAAGUUGGAUGUGAAAUCCCCGGGCUCAACCUGGGAACUGCAUCCAAAACUGGCAAGCUAGAGUAUGGUAGAGGGUGGUGGAAUUUCCUGUGUAGCGGUGAAAUGCGUAGAUAUAGGAAGGAACACCAGUGGCGAAGGCGACCACCUGGACUGAUACUGACACUGAGGUGCGAAAGCGUGGGGAGCAAACAGGAUUAGAUACCCCCGUAGUCCCUGUCUCUUAUAC